GAUGAAGAACGCAGCGAAAUGCGAUAAGUAAUGUGAAUUGCAGAAUUCAGUGAAUCAUCGAGUCUUUGAACGCGCAUUGCGCCCCCUGGUAUUCCGGGGGGCAUGCCUGUCCGAGCGUCAUUGCUGCCCUCAAGCACGGCUUGUGUGUUGGGCCUCCGUCCUCCUCCCGGGGGACGGGCCCGAAAGGCAGCGGCGGCACCGCGUCCGGUCCUCGAGCGUAUGGGGCUUCGUCACCCGCUUUUGUAGGCCCGGCCGGCGCUUGCCGACACAUCAAUCUUUUUUCCAGGUUGACCUCGGAUCAGGUAGGGAUACCCGCUGAACUUAAGCAUAUCAAUAAGCGGAGGA
rnacentral:misc_RNA from 1 species